CUGGCUCAGAUUGAACGCUGGCGGCAUGCCUUACACAUGCAAGUCGAACGGUAACGCGGGGUAACCUGGCGACGAGUGGCGAACGGGUGAGUAAUAUAUCGGAACGUGCCCAAUAGUGGGGGAUAGCCCGGCGAAAGCCGGAUUAAUACCGCAUGAGACCUGAGGGUGAAAGCGGGGGAUUCGCAAGAACCUCGCGCUAUUGGAGCGGCCGAUAUCAGAUUAGGUAGUUGGUGGGGUAAAAGCCUACCAAGCCGACGAUCUGUAGCUGGUCUGAGAGGACGACCAGCCACACUGGGACUGAGACACGGCCCAGACUCCUACGGGAGGCAGCAGUGGGGAAUUUUGGACAAUGGGCGCAAGCCUGAUCCAGCCAUGCCGCGUGCGGGAAGAAGGCCUUCGGGUUGUAAACCGCUUUUGUCAGGGAAGAAAUCCUUUGAGUUAAUACCUCGGAGGGAUGACGGUACCUGAAGAAUAAGCACCGGCUAACUACGUGCCAGCAGCCGCGGUAAUACGUAGGGUGCGAGCGUUAAUCGGAAUUACUGGGCGUAAAGCGUGCGCAGGCGGUCUUGCAAGACAGGUGUGAAAUCCCCGGGCUUAACCUGGGAACUGCACUUGUGACUGCAAGGCUGGAGUACGGCAGAGGGGGAUGGAAUUCCGCGUGUAGCAGUGAAAUGCGUAGAUAUGCGGAGGAACACCGAUGGCGAAGGCAAUCCCCUGGGCCUGUACUGACGCUCAUGCACGAAAGCGUGGGGAGCAAACAGGAUUAGAUACCCGGGG
rnacentral:rRNA from 1 species